UACGAAGGGGGCGAGCGUUGUUCGGAUUUACUGGGCGUAAAGGGCGCGCAGGCGGCUCAUUUUGUCAGGCGUGAAAGCCCCGGGCUUAACCUGGGAGGUGCGUUUGAUACGGAUGGGCUAGAGUUCGGGAGAGGAGAGUGGAAUUCCCAGUGUAGAGGUGAAAUUCGUAGAUAUUGGGAAGAACACCAGUGGCGAAGGCGGCUCACUGGCCCGAUACUGACGCUGAGGUGCGAAAGCGUGGGGAGCAAACAGG
rnacentral:rRNA from 1 species